rnacentral:lncRNA from 1 species
CAGAACAUCUCACCUCAACUUUUUUACUCUCACUGUUAACUAUCCAUCAUCAUGGUCGAUAUCUUUGGAGAGAUUGAAACGCGACUCCCACGUUUCGAAUUUUGCUGCGUUCCGCUAAGAUUGUGUGCCAUUCUGGUUGCGAUCUAUCAUACGGUGUCGGUCAGCUACAUGGUAUUUUAUCGGAUCCCAGCUGACGGAUUGGUCCAAUGGAUUGCAUCCCACAUUCGGGCAGGUGGAGAAACGGCAGUCAUGGCCAUAAUGUUGUGUUUAUUUGAACUGCCGAUCAUUUUUGCUAUCCUCAGCUCGAUCGCAAUACUCAUAUAUGGACUUCUCAAGGAGAGCUUAACAUACUUACGCGCUUUUCUCAUGGUAAUGGUCUUCGUUGUCGUCGCUGAAACCAUCGAAGUAUUCAUGCUUUACUUUUUCGCCUCUGCAAUCGUAACGAUAAAAUCUUUCUCCGCGCCAACACUCUGGAUAGGUUUGGACUUUUUAUCCAUAGUCGUAGUCCAUAGUUACCGAGUGAGUAUGACCAGAAAACUCUCGUCCCAGGAGGCAUUACAGCACAGCCAAUCAGACUGACUAUGCCUGCUUACUUUCGAAUGAAAUUGAUCUGGAAUCUAAUCUGACCCAUAGAGAGAGAAAAGGAGGUGUUUGCAUCUUUAGGUUUGUUUAACCUGUGACGUAAGUCGGUACAACCUGGCCAGCGAAAUCCUGAAUCCGAAGUAUGAAAAACGGACCAUAAUGUUCAAUUUUUUUGCUUGAAUCAACUCAUGAUAUAAUUUCAAGCACUUUUUAUAGAAUGACUUUUUUCCAUAAAUUACACCGUUUCCAAGAAAAUCGAUGAUAAAAGUCGCUGUACCGACCUACGUCAUCAAAAAAAUUACAAGAUGCCCGAAAUUCAAACACCUCCUUUUUUUCCUCUAUGAAUCUGACCACCCCAAAUCAUAUUUCUGUAAACGUUCGUCAAAAUAUGAGAUCCGACUCCGUUGUCCACUCCGUUGUCUCGAGGCGAAGGAUUGUAACUCUAGCCAGAUUGCAAACUUGACGAAUCGAACGAUGCAACUACCUAUUUGCAAUGUAAAAUUUAGAGUCCCUUUAUAACACAGAGUUAAGACAACUCGAUUAUCAGCUGACUGGCAGCCGGCCUUGGCUGGCCAUGGAGGCCGAAACGAGUGCACUCAAACGAACGAUAUUGAGGGAUAAGAAUAAGGAAUCCUCCGAUGUCUGUCAUUCAAAAACAACAACAUCAACAAAACUGAUCAAAACCUUAAAAUUAGAUUGAUUUGUGGAUAAUUUCUUAAUAUAUUUUCAUUUUGGUGCGAUUAAAAUAACAAUUCACUCUUGAUAAACCACAAUUUAGUUAUAUUUUCAUUACUUUUGUUCACAUUCGAGGUACCGCCAUCUUGGUGCAUUCGUUUCGGCCUCCAUGAGCGAGAACCAAUCAGAAUUGGAUUUUUUUUUAGGCCACUUUCAGCCCAACCAAAAUCUACCAAAAGUGAGUUGUCGUAACUCUGUGUUAUAAAGGGACUCUAGUAAAAUUAAGACAAUCAUGGUGUUCAAAUGAUCAUCGGGGGUUUGACUAAAUCUGAAAUGAUCAUCAUCACAAUUUUCACGGAUUGCGAUGCUGUCAUAUCUAGUGUUUCUUCAAGUGCCUGGGAUUUUUGGCGCAGAAUAAGCGAGUUUCCAGCUGAAGAAACUGCAACACGAGCCGCAUCCCAAUCAAUGGCGAUUUUGCAAGUUGGCAACACUGUUAGUCCUCAAUUUGAAUCCAUUGGCGUGGCGUGCUAUGCGAUAUAUAGUUUGAUGUGUCAUUUAAACCUAUUGUAAAGAAUCGAUUAUUAAGGUGUUCGCUGCGAACACCCUGUUUAUCGAUCCUUUUCCAUAGGUUUAAAUGGCAUAACAAUCGAUAUAUCGCAAUUCACGCCACGCCAAUGUUUGAAUCCAUUGAAAAUAUCGAGUUUCGGUGAGGCUAGCUGUUUCGCUACGGAUCGAUUGUUUUACAUAUAUUUAAAUGGAGGCAAACUGUAUUGCCAACCUUUGAAGGUCUUUUCGUACCCUAGAGGAUCAUUUGAACAUUGUGAUGACGUUUCUGUCCAAAAUUUUACGGAUUCUUAGGUGUGAUCAGAAAAAAAUUAGUGGAAUUUUCAGUUAACAAUUCUCAACAGUUUUUUUUAGAAAAAAUGUAUUUUCCGAGUGGAGAUUUUACACUGUUGAGAGGUAAUUACGCGUCCUUUCGUCUGCCAGUCGACAAAUUGUCCCCAUUCAAAAGUCAUGUAAUACUUUGAACACUGAACUUUUUUGAACUGUACUAAAUGUAAGAAUUAAUAUCUUGUAAGUUUUGUGGGGCGGAAAUAACAUAAAUCAAAGCAGCUAUUAUAUUAGAACGUAUUUAUGCCGAAAGAAACUGUAUUGCACGCGAACACAAUGAUAAUAGUUCCUUUCCAGUGGCGUGGCGUGAAUUGCGAUAUAUCGAUUGUUAUGCCAUUUAAACCUAUGGAAAAGGAUCGAUAAACAGGGUGUUCGCAGCGAACACCUUAAUAAUCGAUUCUUUACAAUAGGUUUAAAUGACACAUCAAACGAUAUAUCGCAUAGCACGCCACGCCACUGUUCCUUUCAGCAUAAACACGUCCAUUUGAGGAAUGUUUUGCCAAAUCGUACUUUACGUCCGUUGUUUGUUCCGAUACAUCCCUAUUUUCAUUUCACCUGUCGUUCAAUUAACUCGCCAAUUAUGAGUUAACGCUAUGAUGUGCAAAUUUCAGUAAAAAAUAAAAAUUAAGUUAAAUAGAAAACAUGAAAAACAUUUAUUAUGCCUUAUCACGCAUAUUGUUGUUUAAUUAUUACCUAAAGCGAAAAAUUCUCGAAUUCAAUGUGAAUCUUCGGGCCCAUCUUCAGCAAGACACGAGACAUUACAAGAAUAUUAUUUCCUUAAUGAUAAAUUGAAAUUGUUACUUAAAAGUUCCUGAAAUGUGACUUUUCAAGAGAAAGACAGACCAUAGAGGAGGAAAAUUCUAAAUAUUGGAAUAUUAAUUAAUCAAUUGCUUGAUUACAGUUUUUUUGUGAGAGGGAAGUAAGAACUAUUGCGUGGACAAAAAACGUAAUUUUCCUACUUUCAAGUUAAAUUCAGAAAUUUCUAAUGCGCCCAUUACAUAUUAGGCAAAUUUCGAUUAGGAAACAUAAAAUAUUAUGUUACCAAAGUAUAUAUAUUGUAAUAAAAUAUAUUGCAAUAAAACAAAAAAUUGGUUCAUCGGCCUCGAGACCCUUGGGAAGCUUCUAACCCUUGUGGACGUAUUUAUGCCAAAAGGAACUAUGUCUUACAUAAACCCUAUGCACAUAGUUCCUUUUAGCAUAAACACGUCCAAUUGCGCAAUCGAUUCAACGCAAUGAAAUUCG